GGUUAAGCGACUAAGCGUACACGGUGGAUGCCCUGGCAGUCAGAGGCGAUGAAGGACGUGCUAAUCUGCGAUAAGCGCCGGUAAGGUGAUAUGAACCGUUAUAACCGGCGAUUUCCGAAUGGGGAAACCCAGUGUGAUUCGUCACACUAUCAUUAACUGAAUCCAUAGGUUAAUGAGGCGAACCGGGGGAACUGAAACAUCUAAGUACCCCGAGGAAAAGAAAUCAACCGAGAUUCCCCCAGUAGCGGCGAGCGAACGGGGAGGAGCCCAGAGCCUGAAUCAGCAUGUGUGUUAGUGGAAGCGUCUGGAAAGGCGCGCGAUACAGGGUGACAGCCCCGUACACAAAAGCGCAUGUGCUGUGAGCUCGAUGAGUAGGGCGGGACACGUGGUAUCCUGUCUGAAUAUGGGGGGACCAUCCUCCAAGGCUAAAUACUCCUGACUGACCGAUAGUGAACCAGUACCGUGAGGGAAAGGCGAAAAGAACCCCGGCGAGGGGAGUGAAAAAGAACCUGAAACCGUGUACGUACAAGCAGUGGGAGCACCCUUCGGGGUGUGACUGCGUACCUUUUGUAUAAUGGGUCAGCGACUUAUAUUCUGUAGCAAGGUUAACCGAAUAGGGGAGCCGGAGGGAAACCGAGUCUUAAUUGGGCGUUAAGUUGCAGGGUAUAGACCCGAAACCCGGUGAUCUAGCCAUGGGCAGGUUGAAGGUUGGGUAACACUAACUGGAGGACCGAACCGACUAAUGUUGAAAAAUUAGCGGAUGACCUGUGGCUGGGGGUGAAAGGCCAAUCAAACCGGGAGAUAGCUGGUUCUCCCCGAAAGCUAUUUAGGUAGCGCCUCGUGAAUUCAUCUCCGGGGGUAGAGCACUGUUUCGGCUAGGGGGCCAUCCCGGCUUACCAACCCGAUGCAAACUGCGAAUACCGGAGAAUGUUAUCACGGGAGACACACGGCGGGUGCUAACGUCCGUCGUGAAGAGGGAAACAACCCAGACCGCCAGCUAAGGUCCCAAAGUCAUGGUUAAGUGGGAAACGAUGUGGGAAGGCCCAGACAGCCAGGAUGUUGGCUUAGAAGCAGCCAUCAUUUAAAGAAAGCGUAAUAGCUCACUGGUCGAGUCGGCCUGCGCGGAAGAUGUAACGGGGCUAAACCAUGCACCGAAGCUGCGGCAGCGAACGUAUCACCCAAGACAACUUUACGGAGUUGACGAUUGACGGAGCGAAGCGACGUCAAAGCGUUCAUUAAAGUCGAGUUGGCUUAGGGAUACGUUCGUUGGGUAGGGGAGCGUUCUGUAAGCCUGUGAAGGUGUGUCGUGAGGCAUGCUGGAGGUAUCAGAAGUGCGAAUGCUGACAUAAGUAACGAUAAAGCGGGUGAAAAGCCCGCUCGCCGGAAGACCAAGGGUUCCUGUCCAACGUUAAUCGGGGCAGGGUGAGUCGACCCCUAAGGCGAGGCCGAAAGGCGUAGUCGAUGGGAAACGGGUUAAUAUUCCCGUACUUGGUGUUACUGCGAAGGGGGGACGGAGAAGGCUAUGUUGGCCGGGCGACGGUUGUCCCGGUUUAAGCGUGUAGGUGUGUGUUCCAGGUAAAUCCGGUUCACUUUAACACUGAGGCGUGACGACGAGGCACUACGGUGCUGAAGCAACAAAUGCCCUGCUUCCAGGAAAAGCCUCUAAGCAUCAGGUAACACGAAAUCGUACCCCAAACCGACACAGGUGGUCAGGUAGAGAAUACCAAGGCGCUUGAGAGAACUCGGGUGAAGGAACUAGGCAAAAUGGUGCCGUAACUUCGGGAGAAGGCACGCUGACACGUAGGUGAAGUGAUUUACUCAUGGAGCUGAAGUCAGUCGAAGAUACCAGCUGGCUGCAACUGUUUAUUAAAAACACAGCACUGUGCAAACACGAAAGUGGACGUAUACGGUGUGACGCCUGCCCGGUGCCGGAAGGUUAAUUGAUGGGGUCAGCGCAAGCGAAGCUCCUGAUCGAAGCCCCGGUAAACGGCGGCCGUAACUAUAACGGUCCUAAGGUAGCGAAAUUCCUUGUCGGGUAAGUUCCGACCUGCACGAAUGGCGUAAUGAUGGCCAGGCUGUCUCCACCCGAGACUCAGUGAAAUUGAACUCGCUGUGAAGAUGCAGUGUACCCGCGGCAAGACGGAAAGACCCCGUGAACCUUUACUAUAGCUUGACACUGAACAUUGAGCCUUGAUGUGUAGGAUAGGUGGGAGGCUUUGAAGUGUGGACGCCAGUCUGCAUGGAGCCGACCUUGAAAUACCACCCUUUAAUGUUUGAUGUUCUAACGUGGACCCGUAAUCCGGGUUGCGGACAGUGUCUGGUGGGUAGUUUGACUGGGGCGGUCUCCUCCUAAAGAGUAACGGAGGAGCACGAAGGUUGGCUAAUCCUGGUCGGACAUCAGGAGGUUAGUGCAAUGGCAUAAGCCAGCUUGACUGCGAGCGUGACGGCGCGAGCAGGUGCGAAAGCAGGUCAUAGUGAUCCGGUGGUUCUGAAUGGAAGGGCCAUCGCUCAACGGAUAAAAGGUACUCCGGGGAUAACAGGCUGAUACCGCCCAAGAGUUCAUAUCGACGGCGGUGUUUGGCACCUCGAUGUCGGCUCAUCACAUCCUGGGGCUGAAGUAGGUCCCAAGGGUAUGGCUGUUCGCCAUUUAAAGUGGUACGCGAGCUGGGUUUAGAACGUCGUGAGACAGUUCGGUCCCUAUCUGCCGUGGGCGCUGGAGAACUGAGGGGGGCUGCUCCUAGUACGAGAGGACCGGAGUGGACGCAUCACUGGUGUUCGGGUUGUCAUGCCAAUGGCACUGCCCGGUAGCUAAAUGCGGAAGAGAUAAGUGCUGAAAGCAUCUAAGCACGAAACUUGCCCCGAGAUGAGUUCUCCCUGAGACUUAGAGUCUCCUGAAGGAACGUUGAAGACGACGACGUUGAUAGGCCGGGUGUGUAAGCGCAGCGAUGCGUUGAGCUAACCGGUACUAAUGAACCGUGAGGCUUAACCUU
rnacentral:rRNA from 1 species